rnacentral:rRNA from 1 species
AGAGUUUGAUCCUGGCUCAGGAUGAACGCUGGCGGCGUGCCUAAUACAUGCAAGUCGAACGCGAGCACUUGUGCUCGAGUGGCGAACGGGUGAGUAAUACAUAAGUAACCUGCCCUAGACAGGGGGAUAACUAUUGGAAACGAUAGCUAAGACCGCAUAGGUACGGACACUGCAUGGUGACCGUAUUAAAAGUGCCUCAAAGCACUGGUAGAGGAUGGACUUAUGGCGCAUUAGCUGGUUGGCGGGGUAACGGCCCACCAAGGCGACGAUGCGUAGCCGACCUGAGAGGGUGACCGGCCACACUGGGACUGAGACACGGCCCAGACUCCUACGGGAGGCAGCAGUAGGGAAUUUUCGGCAAUGGGGGAAACCCUGACCGAGCAACGCCGCGUGAAGGAAGAAGGUUUUCGGAUUGUAAACUUCUGUUAUAAAGGAAGAACGGCGGCUACAGGAAAUGGUAGCCGAGUGACGGUACUUUAUUAGAAAGCCACGGCUAACUACGUGCCAGCAGCCGCGGUAAUACGUAGGUGGCAAGCGUUAUCCGGAAUUAUUGGGCGUAAAGAGGGAGCAGGCGGCAGCAAGUCUGUGGUGAAAGCCUGAAGCUUAACUUCAGUAAGCCAUAGAAACCAGGCAGCUAGAGUGCAGGAGAGGAUCGUGGAAUUCCAUGUGUAGCGGUGAAAUGCGUAGAUAUAUGGAGGAACACCAGUGGCGAAGGCGACGAUCUGGCCUGCAACUGACGCUCAGUCCCGAAAGCGUGGGGAGCAAAUAGGAUUAGAUACCCUAGUAGUCCACGCCGUAAACGAUGAGUACUAAGUGUUGGAUGUCAAAGUUCAGUGCUGCAGUUAACGCAAUAAGUACUCCGCCUGAGU